rnacentral:rRNA from 1 species
CAGCCGCCGCGGUAAUACCGGCGGCCCGAGUGGCGGUCACUAUUAUUGGGCUUAAAGCGUCCGUAGCCGGGUUGGGAAGGCCUCCGGGAAAUCUGGCCGCUUAACGGUCAGAAUGCCGGAGGAUACUCCCAGCCUAGGGAGCGGGAGAGGCCGAGGGGAUUCCCGGGGUAGGGGGGAAAUCCUAUAAUCCCGGGAGGACCACCUGUGGCGAAGGCGCUCGGCUGGAACGCGUCCGACGGUGAGGGACGAAGGCCAGGGGAGCAAACCGGAUUAGAUACCCGGGUAGUCCUGGCUGUAAACGAUGCGGACUUUGUGUCGGACAAGCUAUGAGCUUGUCCGGUGCCGGAGGGAAACCGUUAAGUCCGCCGCCUGGGGAGUACGGCCGCAAGGCUGAAACUUAAAGGAAUUGGCGGG